rnacentral:lncRNA from 1 species
UAAUUCUGCUUUGAGAUACUUAAAUCUUAUGGGUCUAUUUCUUUGUUGUUUUCCUUAGGGCUCGAAAAGGCUUUUAAAAGAUAAAGCCGGUCUCAGCCUUGCUAAGUAGAGCCGAGAGGGAAAGAUCUGGCGCCCUCUGGGCUUGCGAGGAGCCAGCAGCAUCGCGCCCCCUGCCGGCCAGUGAGGGGGCCGCCCCUCCCCGGAAGAAGAGGGCGGGGCCGCCAGAGAAAGACGCAUCCAACCUGGAUCAGGAUCGGCGACUCUGGGAGUUUUACUGGAGCAGCUAGUGAAUAAAUUGGCUCCGCGAUUCAGAGAGCAUCAACCUAGGGUGGGAUCAAGGCUGGCCGAUCCCACACGCCCACACCCCGCACUGCGCACGCAGCGAAGAUUGCUCAGGCUCUGGGGAAUGAAGGUAUUGGAGCGCUGGCAGCCCCUGGAGACCAUUCCCCUGCGCUGCGUCGUCACGUGGCCUUGCUGACGGGACCCAUGCAGGAUCCUGGGCCUCAGGUAGUCGUGAGGGCGCUGUACAAGCCCAGGGCCUGGAGAAAAUAGUUUGAUCUAGUAGCAGAACUGGAGGAUGGCCCAUGUCAGAACCACGUUUUCUGUGAAAGACAUGAAGUGGGGAUCAGUCCCUUCCUGAGACACCUAUCUUUCCCGCCUCCCAGUCCAGAAAUGCAGUAUUGCAAAUUGUCUCCACCCUCCACCUGACUUUUUCUACACUCUCUUUUGCACUGUCUCGAAAACUCACUGGGUCACACCCUCUUCUACUUGACCCUCCUCCUACCUUUUCUUCUCCAGAGCUUCUCCUUCCUUUAUUCCCAUCCCUCUGCCCUGGCCCAGCACAGUCCUAAUCAUAUUUCUUGUGUCUAGAUUCCUUCCAGGAACUGAGAUGGAAGGAGCUGUCUCGGGAAGUUUCAAUGACCUGCCCAAAGUCAGAGAGCUCCUAAGUGAGAAGCAGCCUAGAAUAAUGGUGAGCCCUUCAAAUUAAAUAAAAACCAAGUCUCCACCA